GACGAACGCUGGCGGCGUGCUUAACACAUGCAAGUCGAACGGAAAGGCCCUGCUUUUGUGGGGUGCUCGAGUGGCGAACGGGUGAGUAACACGUGAGUAACCUGCCCUUGACUUUGGGAUAACUUCAGGAAACUGGGGCUAAUACCGGAUAGGAGCUCCUGCUGCAUGGUGGGGGUUGGAAAGUUUCGGCGGUUGGGGAUGGACUCGCGGCUUAUCAGCUUGUUGGUGGGGUAGUGGCUUACCAAGGCUUUGACGGGUAGCCGGCCUGAGAGGGUGACCGGCCACAUUGGGACUGGGAUACGGCCCCGACUCCUACGGGAGGCAGCAGUGGGGAAUAUUGCACAAUGGGCGGAAGCCUGAUGCAGCAACGCCGCGUGCGGGAUGACGGCCUUCGGGUCGUAAACCGCUUUCGCCUGUGACGAAGCGUGAGUGACGGUAAUGGGUAAAGAAGCACCGGCUAACUACGUG
rnacentral:rRNA from 1 species